rnacentral:lncRNA from 10 species
CCAGUCUGCACGUCUGGCCUUCAAAGAAUAGUACCAUUUGGAUUUAUAGAAAGACAGAGUUUUGCUCUUGUUGUCCAAGCUGGAAUGCAAUGGCACAGUCUCGACUCAACGCAACCUCUGCCUCCCAGGUUCAAAUGAUUCUCCUGCUUCAGCCUCCUGAGUAGCUAGGACCACAGGCAUGCGCCACCACUCCCGGCUGAUAUUUUGUAUUUUUAGUAGAAAUAGGGUUUCACCAUGUUAGCCAAGCUGGUUUUGAACUCCCGACCUCAGGUGAUCUGCCUGCCUCAGCUUCCCAGGGUGCUGGGAUUACAGGUAUGAGCCACUGUGCCUGGCCUACUUUUAUUCUUAAAGGUUUUUUUAGUUGGA